ACGUGUCCGAUAUGAACACUUUUUAGAUGCGCGUUUUAUGCCGAUACAUAGCGAUUUCAUAUUUUUAUUUUAUUUUUUUUAUACAUUAUAAAUAUAAGAUGUUAAAUAUUUUAGUUUUUUAGCAAAUUUUUGACGAAUGCAUAUAAAUUUUUUAGAUAAUAUAAAUAAUUUAUAUAUGGUGCAAUAUUUUUUUCUUAAAAUAUAUGAAUUGUCAAUAAAAAUAUUGCUAAAUUUUAUUCCUAUGAGAAAUAUAACAAUAUUUUAUAAAAAUUAAUAUUUUAUAUAUAAUAAAUAUAUAUUAUUAUACUAUUAUAUUUCGUCAGUGAUGUUUAUGUCUUGUCUGUAUUCUAAUUUUUUGAAAACUGCUAAGUCGCUGUGUCCGAGUCAAGCCGUGUUGUGU
rnacentral:lncRNA from 1 species